rnacentral:rRNA from 1 species
GUCUUUUAGAUUAUAAUUUAAAGUCUAACCUGCCCAAUGAAUUUAUUUAAAUGGCUGCAGUAUUUUGACUGUACAAAGGUAGCAUAAUAAUUAGUUUUUUAAUUGAAAGCUGGUAUGAAAGGUUGAACGAAAAAAUAACUGUCUCAAUUUAAUUUUAUUAAAAUUUUAUUUUUUAGUUAAAAAGCUAAAAUUUAUUUUAAAGACGAGAAGACCCUAUAGAGUUUAAUAUUUAAUUUAUAUUUUUUAUAGAAUUAUUAUAUAAAGUAUAAUAUUUUAUUGGGGUGAUAUAUAAAUUUAAAAAACUUUAAUUUUUUAAUACAUUAAUUUAUGAUUUAUUGAUCCAUUUAAAUGAUUAAAAGAUUAAAUUACCUUAGGGAUAACAGCGUAAUUUUUUUAAAGAGUUCUAAUCGAAAAAAAAGAUUGCGACCUCGAUGUUGGAUUAAAAUUAAAAUUUGGUGUAGAAGCUAAAUUAUUAGGUCUGUUCGACCUUUAAAAUUUUACAUGAUCUGAGUUUAAAUCGGCGUGAGCCAGGUUGGUUUCUAUCUUAAAAUUUUUAUAAUAUUUUAGUACGAAAGGACCAAAUAUUUAUAAUAUUUAUUUUAUUUUGAAUUC